GUUCGGUUCGGUGUGAUGGUGUUUUCGCUAUUAAUCUCUUAAGUUGAGAUGAGAAUCUGCCGCCUAAUGAAUCGCUUGUGGUUGGAAUCGUUGCCUAUUUCGGGCUGCACAAAAAAGUAACGGCUACUUGGGU
rfam:Helicobacter sp. MIT 11-5569 CONTIG_4, whole genome shotgun sequence.